rnacentral:rRNA from 1 species
CUUAACACAUGCAAGUCGAGGGGUAUUAGUUUUCGGACUAAGAGACCGGCGCACGGGUGCGUAACGCGUAUGCAAUCUACCUUUUACAGAGGGAUAGCCCAGAGAAAUUUGGAUUAAUACCUCAUAGUAUAGCAGUUUCGCAUGAAACCACUAUUAAAGUCACAACGGUAAAAGAUGAGCAUGCGUCCCAUUAGCUAGUUGGUAAGGUAACGGCUUACCAAGGCUACGAUGGGUAGGGGUCCUGAGAGGGAGAUCCCCCACACUGGUACUGAGACACGGACCAGACUCCUACGGGAGGCAGCAGUGAGGAAUAUUGGACAAUGGGCGCAAGCCUGAUCCAGCCAUGCCGCGUGCAGGAUGACGGUCCUAUGGAUUGUAAACUGCUUUUGUACGAGAAGAAACACUCCUAUGUAUAGGAGCUUGACGGUAUCGUAAGAAUAAGGAUCGGCUAGCUCCGUGCCAGCAGCCGCGGUAAUACGGAGGAUCCAAGCGUUAUCCGGAAUCAUUGGGUUUAAAGGGUCCGUAGGCGGUUUAGUAAGUCAGUGGUGAAAGCCCAUCGCUCAACGGUGGAACGGCCAUUGAUACUGCUGAACUUGAAUUAUUAGGAAGUAACUAGAAUAUGUAGUGUAGCGGUGAAAUGCUUAGAGAUUACAUGGAAUACCAAUUGCGAAGGCAGGUUACUACUAAUUGAUUGA